AUCUUUUAUCUUUUAAUUAAUUAUAACAUCUGCAAAACUCCUAAAACUCCAAAUAACCUCAACACACUCAAAGACCUAAGGAACAAAGUCUCUUCCAAAAUUCUUCAGCAUUUUCUUGAGAUCUAUGGAAGAAUCAUCCCAAAUCCAUCAUCAGUAGUUGUACAUGUAAAUCAUCACCAGAAUCUGUGCCAAAUAGCUUUGGAAACCUGUAUCUAUAUAGCAUCUCGUUGCCGGUAGUUGUACAUCGUUGCCGGUAACUGUAAAAUUCUAUUGGGUGACGGAUUUUGUUUGUAAGAUAAGUGUGUUUUGUUGGAUAGAUGUUUUAGCGAUCUUAGAUUUCGUUUAGUCCACAUACUGCUUGUUGCAUGUUAAAUGUGCAGAAUCUAAAAUCCCUAAUUUAAGAUGUGUGGUAAUGUAUUUAAGAUUUGGGAGUUUCUUGAUGAAUUAAUCAUCUCUUUCUUGUUUCACUUACUAAUUUCUUGUUGAAUUAAUCAUUUUGCUUUCUAUUGAAGCUUUGAAUCUAAAUUAGGGAUAUGUUAGGGUUUUUUUAUAUUAAAAUUCUACUAUUUUUGCUCUUUAUUCUUAAAAUUGGGGAUCUGUUAGGGUUCUUUUGCUUCUUGACAUUUUUGUUGGAUCUUUAAAAUUGAUUGAUUGCCCCUUUUUAAGGCUAUUUGUGGGUUUUAGUAGCUGCUAAUCAUCCCUUGUCAACUCUUUCUUAUGAAUCAUCUUAGAAAGUCAGUAAAAUCAUCUACGGAAGCACAAAAAAUCUAAGACCAAGGUGUUGGUGUGUAUUUUAUCAGUGGUCAUCUUUGGAUUACUGUUGAGAAUGAGUUUUGUAUGCUUAUUUUGUGUUUUGGUGUGGUUUAGGAGGUAGUCCAAAAAGUUGAAUGAUUCUAGCAUGGCUCUUUCCUAUUAGCUUUAGCUAACUGUGGCUCCAAACUCUUGCCUGCUAAUGGAUGAAGUUGGUCUUGUGGGUUUGAAAGCAGCAUUUUGUUUUCCUUUUUCUCAUUUUUUAGUUGACUUAAUUGUAGUAGAAUAUUCUGCUUUAAUAGUUAAUGCCUUGUAGCCUCAUUUUACAAUUUUAAGAGACAAGAAAUUCAGUUUCAAAUUGAUUCAUCAAAAGUUAUAAAGAAUGUCAUGUUACUUCAGUAUUUUGCAUGACAUGUUACUUAGUUCAAUUGUAAAAUCUAUUUAAAUUAUUAUAAGCGUGAUUUCUUUGUUCGUCUGAUUAAAGUAUAUUUUCUUCCAAGAACGUCAUGUGACAUGCCCAGCUUAGAGCUAACGAUAUAAUUAAUAAUAGGAUGGAAAGUAGGAACAAUUAUACAAUUUUGAGCAAUUUUGCACCUCUGGCAGAUGAAUUGAUUUGUCAUGAUGCUUCGGUUCUAUGGCUAACACACUUGUAAUAGUGUUUUAAUUGAAUAUUGCACACUUGAUUUUAAUGUGCAGAACUUUAGAGAUUUUUCCAUGGUUUUUCAUUUGAAAAUAUUGUUGCUAUUUUUCUGUUUUAGCUUACCAUAAAAUCUUCAUUUUGGUUAUUUGUUAUUGUGUUGUGUAGUAUUUUAAUGUAUAACCAGAAGUUGGAGGAAUAUCCUAAGAAGGACCAACUCAAGAAAGUGAAGAUGGCAAUCAAUCAGUUGACGCAAUUAUAUCUGCCAUAGAAUCCAAGCAUCAUGGACGCGUGAAAUUGUAUGGUUGGGGGGUUACGAAAUGAGUUUUAAAAGGAAAAGUUGGAGGUUCUGGGCCUCUAUAAAUGUUAUAACGUGGUUGAAAUGCUAGCUAUAUCCGAUGCUCAUUCAUCGGGAGAAGAUCGAUACCUCUGCACCACAAACUGCUAUUCAACAAAUAUUUCAUCGUCCAUCUACUAGUAGUAACAAACAAGGUACUCUGGAGUUUGUCUAUUAUUAGCUAGCCGAUCGAACAUCGAUGUGGAGACUCAAGGUAUACAUGCCGUCACGUUCACAGGCCUAAGAGUCACCUUCUGAAGUUUAUUUUGUAUUGUUUAUCUCUAUUCCGAAACAAUUAUACUUAGAGAAUUUUUAGUGAACUCAGUAGAGCUUAUAACUUGUACUACCAAUUUUGGGAAGUGUGUUGUUGGGAUUCUAUUUCAGUAGAUUAUAUCAGUUUAUCAUACUUGCUUUA